GCGAGUGUAGUUCAAUGGUAGAACGAGAGCUUCCCAAGCUCUAUACGAGGGUUCGAUUCCUUUCACUCGCUCCA
rnacentral:tRNA from 1 species